UUAAUCAACGUUCUUGCUCAAUAUUUUCAUACACUACAAUAAAGUCACCAUGAGGAUAUAUACAUUAACUAUUUUGACAAUUUUCACAGUCAACAAUUGUGUCAAUACUUUGUGGAACCGCGAUCCGAGGAUACUUAGAACAAAUACAUUCGUGGGAACAGAAGUUACUCAUACAAAACAGCGCUUUCAAAAGCUUGGCGUUAAAGAGGAUAUGGCAAAAGAUCUGACGCGGGCUGUGGUUACUCUCCAUAAACUGAAAAUUGAUAUAAAUUAUUUAAAAGGUUACAUACCUAAGAUACGAAAAUUUAGAAAGAUGUUAAACAGGUGUAUUACUAGAAUACCUAUAAC